GAAACAGGAAGGACCCCUUUUUUCCCCUCCGCUCAUUCUCCAGCAGCAAGAUGUGAUCCCAGCAAGGAGGGAUACCAAUAAGGCGUCCGAUUUAUUCCAUGCUCAGCUGUUAAAAGUCUUUGCUUCCUAGAUAUCUGGAAUCCAGGAGGAAGGAGUCAUAAAAGUGACAUUGUAGAAGCUGUUACUGAGCAAGAAGCCACGAAGAUGUAGAUGAUGCCUACAUGUGGAUUCGUUGGCAAGAACAGAGCAAGUCAGAAAAUGCCCCUCCCUGGGGGGUGGGGGGCCUGACAUUUGAAGGUCAUGCAUGAGAAGGGGCUGUGUGCUACAUAGAAUGGCAGUGCCUGCUCCUGACGAUGCCAGCCGCACCAUCCCCAGAGCACAGAUCCAUUCUUCAGAGUGAACCCAGGGAGCUCCUCAGACAGACGCUUAGUGAAACCCCUCUUCAUCAUUGUAUUCAUGGGGACCUCCCGGAAACACAGCAAGCUCUGAAGAUCACGGUGAGGAUGAGGUCAGCCAAAGUCUACAUGGAGCUAGAAUUCUUCAGAUUUGCUGCUUAUGUCACCACAAUCCUGCUGCUCAAAGAGAUCUAAGCUACCAGAGCAGAAAGUCCCAGCCAUCCAUCCCAGGAAGCCCCUUUCUCGAGAUCUGGUCCACUGAACUUUUCUUCUCUCAUUACGAGCUGCCUGCCUGGGGAGUUUAAAGGCUUUGCCAGAGGGCUUCAUCUCAUAUGUCCUUUCUCAUUUCCUAGGGCAUAAAAAUGCUGGAUUGAAUUUACUAACAGUAAAUUCAUGUGUGUGUUCUCCUGGUUCAUUUUCACCCAGACAGAAAAAAAGAGCAACACCAAUAAAUUAAUUUAAUUUUUUCAUUAA
rnacentral:lncRNA from 1 species